CCAAGUAGAUGGACAUGAGUUUGAGUGAACUCCGGGAGUUGGUGAUGGACAGGGAGGCCUGGUGUGCUGCAAUUCAUGGGGUCGCAAAGAGUCGGACACAGUGGAGCGACUCAACUGAACUGAGGAGCAUGGCCAGCACCCCAGAGAUGACUGUGUGCAGAGCUAUGCCCAGGUCCAGUGAGGGGGCAGUACCCCAUUCUGCCAGGGUUGUUAUGUGGAAGAUGACAUGUGCUGUUUGGGCCUGGAGCAGGCUCCUUGUCCCGUUUCUGCUCAGGGAUAUAUGCACCCCCUUCCCACCCAGGCCUCAGAGUCACUCCCCUUUAAUGACUGGGACUGCUGCUCCCCAAUUGUCCCAUCUCAGCAGUGCCCACCUGCAGCUGAACCCCUGAAGUUCCCAGUCCCCCAACUCCCUCAGUCAAGCUGACUCCACCCCUCCUGCUACAUGGACCCUGUGUACGUAGCCCCUGCGCCCUCUGCCCUGGAAUGGGAACCCCUCCCUCACCAUCCACAUCAGUGAAUGUCAGGGAAGCAGCACAGAUGUGGCCACAAACACACCUCAAAAAGGGAAAAUGGGUUUGAAAGCUCUGUGGGGGAGACUUCAUAAUUGGGAAAAAUUUAGAGAAUGGGCAGUAGAGGGAAGUGUGGGCCCGAGUGGGAGUCAGGAAGUGAAGCAGACAGCGAGGGCUGGACUCCCAGCGCCAGGAAGGUGUCCAAGGUGACACUGGAGCUUCUGGGCCUGGCCACCGAUGGGCCAGUGUCCCUGAAACUUUCUGAGCACACAGAGCUCAUCGGUGCAGUCACAGUAUAAGUAGGAAGUUUAAUCUUCAUCAAAGGUCUGAGCAAAAUGGGUGGUUUCUUUUUAAGUGUCUGUUUCCAUUUUAUCUGCACCCAGAACCCAUCUUAUUCUGAAGCCCUUGCAGGACUGAGCAGGAUAAUUUAAUGCUUGGAGGCAGACAUGGAGCCUAGCAGCCCUCCCUGGAGAUGAAGAACUCCAUUGCCCCGAUGACCUUGAGGAGCAGAAGCGCAGGAGGAGGGAGAUAAGAGUAUGGUUCUUGGCCUUGACUCUGGGAGGGUCUCGGGCUCAACAAAGACCCCAAGGAAUCACAGUGUGAGAGCAGAGGAGAGUCCAUCCCCAAAGGGUCUUCAGGCAGCUCACAGCCCUUGGGGGGUGGUGCAUGCACUGGCCUGCAUCUUAUUGAGAAGAGCAGAGGUGCUCUGUCUCAGGUUCACUGUUUCUUACGAAUCCAGGCAUCAGUAUAUGAUCACACUGAAACACUGGGACAUAUUGCUACACCCAGACGGAGCUGUGGGAAGCUCUUAUGUGUAAUCUGAGGUUUAUGCUCCUUAUGGUUCUACAGCAAAAAUUGUACUUUUCUUUUUUCCUCUCUUUACAGUGGGGGAUGGUGGUGGUGGUAUUUAGUUGAUUCUCAUGGGCAGCUCCUAGAUUCUUAGCCAGGUGCAUACUGAAGAGUAUUUGGAGGAGGAAAUGGCAACUCACUCCAGUAUUCCUGCCUGGAAAAUCUCAUGGACAGAGGAGCCUGGCGGGCUAUAGUCCAUGUGAUUGCAAAGAAUCAGACACGACAGAGCAUGCAUGUGCAUGCGCGUGUGAGCGUGCGCACACACACACACUGAAGAGUACAGGAAUGAAACUUUUCAAGGGCUGUGGCCGGCAGUAUUUCACAAGACAAAAAUGGGAUGAAGAUGUGGCAACAUUUAGUAAUUUAGUAAUUGCAUAUAGGUAUCCAUUGUGUCACUCUCUGUACUGUAUUUUGAAAAAUUUUCCAUUAGUUCAAAACAGGAAAACUCGACCUAAGUAAAUCUUCCUAAGUUGAAAAAUCAUGUAUUCAUUUUCUCAUUCACUGUUUAAGUUGUAACAACAUAAAAUCCUAAUUGAAGCUCUUUAUAAUGUUGGUGACUGUGGAAGUUUCAGCUCUUGAUAACCAAAAGCAGUGGCUGUGGUGUCUUCAUGUCUCACCAUGUUCAUGUCUGUCUGAGCGAGGACAGGCCAUUCGUAGGGGGGUCUCCAUGUGGGGGUCACCCCCUGAGGCCAUGGAACUUAGUAGCCUCAAGCCUGCCUGUCUAGCCCCCUGAAUACUGUUAGUCGUCGAGCGCCUCUUAGGGGGGAUCAGUUGGUACUGCAACUUUUAAAACAGGUGAUUUUUCUUAAGGCUCUUACAGCAAUUUUCAGCAGCUGGACAGCUCCAGGGUCUCCUGUCAGCCUGCUGACUUCCCAUGUCUGACAUAAACUUAGAAUUUAAAGUU